rnacentral:rRNA from 1 species
UACGGNCAGACUAGAGUGCGGUAGGGGAGAUUGGAAUUCCUGGUGUAGCGGUGGAAUGCGCAGAUAUCAGGAGGAACACCGAUGGCGAAGGCAGAUCUCUGGGCCGUAACUGACGCUGAGGAGCGAAAGGGUGGGGAGCAAACAGGCUUAGAUACCCUGGUAGUCCACCCCGUAAACGUUGGGAACUAGUUGUGGGGUCCAUUCCACGGAUUCCGUGACGCAGCUAACGCAUUAAGUUCCCCGCCUGGGGAGUACGGCCGCAAGGCUAAAACUCAAAGGAAUUGACGGGGACCCGCACAAGCGGCGGAGCAUGCGGAUUAAUUCGAUGCAACGCGAAGAACCUUACCAAGGCUUGACAUAUACGAGAACGCUGCAGAAAUGUAGAACUCUUUGGACACUCGUAAACAGGUGGUGCAUGGUUGUCGUCAGCUCGUGUCGUGAGAUGUUGGGUUAAGUCCCGCAACGAGCGCAACCCUCGUUCUAUGUUGCCAGCACGUAAUGGUGGGAACUCAUGGGAUACUGCCGGGGUCAACUCGGAGGAAGGUGGGGAUGACGUCAAAUCAUCAUGCCCCUUAUGUCUUGGGCUUCACGCAUGCUACAAUGGCCGGUACAAAGGGCUGCAAUACCGCAAGGUGGAGCGAAUCCCAAAAAGCCGGUCCCAGUUCGGAUUGAGGUCUGCAACUCGACCUCAUGAAGUCGGAGUCGCUAGUAAUCGCAGAUCAGCAACGCUGCGGUGAAUACGUUCCCGGGUCUUGUACACACCGCCCGUCNANNCNNNAAAGUCGGUAACACCNGAAGCC